AGGUGCAGUUCCGUCGACAACAUAGGAGUAGAUGGCAAGCUAGAUGAUGAAGAAUGGGUCAUAACUCAUAGCGCCUCAUUAAUUUUAUGCCAUGAAAUGUGUUUGUGAUAGAUACUAUUUCUGUUCUCAUUACGAUUUAGUAGUCAAGUAUGCCAACCGUCGUAGCUCUCUGCCAAGAUCAGAAUAUUGUUGUAGCUAAGCUUGUGGGCUGCUGCUAUUAUAGGGACGUGGUGCAAUCUCCUCACUGUCGUUUAUGUCGGAUUUGUUUGCUCUCAGACGCUGCCAAUACUGUAUGAGAAAUGUGAAGAUCAAAUUGAUAGACUUUCUAUAUAACCUCCUCGGGCAGUUCCAGAAUCACUAUAGCAAGCUGGAUGUGAGUGUGCUGAGUAAACUAUCGAAGGGAAAUCCCAGAUCAAAGAAGAAUGACUAGAGUCCAUCCUUCUUUGGUUCAUCUUGUCUUUUAUUGUGUGAUCGACAUGCUGUAUUGCUGUCAAAUAAAGAUGAAAACCUCCGCCACUAUUGUGAACACAACAGCAGCAAUUCUGUGCAUAGUCUUUUUGCCACUGAAUGCAGGUUUCUGAUAUCCCAACUGGUUGUCAAGCAAUUAUGCAAACAGAGCAUGAUGUUCUUUAGGUCAAUUCCGAUGCAUUCUAAAUGUUUCUUUGAGCAUUCUUUGUUGAUGCUUAAUCUCAAUGAUCAAAGUUUGGAGGUUUUUGGUUUCUAAA